rnacentral:lncRNA from 1 species
GCUGCAUGUGCAGUGAUGCUAGAGUAGAACAGGUCUGGACCUUGUUAAUGUAACUGCUGCCAGCUUUCCUGUAAGGAUCCCCAUCCAGGCCCUUCAGCAACUGUAGGAGCGGGCGUGGUGUCGUCGCUACUGUCAAAUCCUGGACCCGGCAGCCGACUUUUUCCUGACUUGGACAUCAGCAGCGGAAGCAAGGGAAGUUUCAAGACACACAGUAAAGUUUGCUUCAGUCCAGGGAUCACAGUGCACAAAACCAGAGCAUACUUCUCUCUGAGCUCUCCGUGAUGUUGAAAAAGAAGCUUCUUCAAGGAUGACCAAAUGCUUACCCCGCCUUGUGCCCAGCUCAGUGCAGACAGAAGUCACUACACUGAACGAGAACUACAACCAGGAAGCAGUCUCCACCCUGAGAAGCAGCCAUUAGUACACAGAGGGUAUGCUCACAUAAAAGAAGAAAAACUUUCCUUUGUGGGGAUAUAUUUUUACUGAAAAAUCUUUCUCGCCAACAUGCAUGAGAAGCAUUGGGUUGAUCAGAUGUGCCACCUUACUGAUUGAUGCCUGAUGGACAUAGUAAAGUUGACCCAGAAUCAUGUCUCCUAUGGACUAUGUGGGAAGAGUCUCCUGGACACAGACUUUUUUGGCAGCAAGGUCUGAUUGCUGUCCCUGUUUGUGAUCACCUUGUUUUUCACUGAAUGUCUG